GACGAACGCUGGCGGCGUGCUUAACACAUGCAAGUCGAACGAUGACGCCCGAGCUUGCUCGGUUUGAUUAGUGGCGAACGGGUGAGUAACACGUGAGCAACCUGCCCUUCACUUUGGGAUAACCUCGGGAAAUCGGGGCUAAUACCGGAUAUGAGCUCCUGUCGCAUGGCGGGCGUUGGAAAGUUUUUCGGUGGAGGAUGGGCUCGCGGGCUAUCGGUUUGUUGGUGUGGUAGUGGCUCACCAAGGCGAAGCCGGGUAGCCGGCCUGAGAGGGGGGCCGGGCACAAGGGGACUGAGGGACGGCGCAGACGGGUACGGGAGGCAACAGUGGGAAGUAUUGCACAAUGGGCGCGAGCCUGAGGCAGCGACGCCGCGGGAGGGAUGACGGCCUGCGGGUUGAAAAACGCUUUCGGCAGAGAAGAAGCGAAAGUGACGGUACCUGAAGAAGAAGCACCGGCUAACUACGUG
rnacentral:rRNA from 1 species